CUACUUGGAAUAAAUAAUCAAAAUGUACUUUACUGCAAUAUAUAGAAGAUGCAAAAUCAAUAUCGUAUUUUUUAAUUCUACUAACCCACAGAGAAGGUGCAAAAGUAGGCAUAGCCAUAUAUUUCUCAUAACUAUAUAAUCAAACUUUCAGUGGGCAAAAUUCAAGUAUCACCUAGGAUUGAUGUUCCACCAUCAGUCGUCAAAGAUGUAUCUGUCAAAGAUGAAAAAUUGUUAGAGUCAUUUUAUAAAUUUUAAAAUUAUAUGAUAAAUUUGUAAAACCA
rnacentral:lncRNA from 1 species